UACGUAGGUGGCAAGCGUUGUCCGGAUUUACUGGGCGUAAAGGGCGUGCAGGCGGUCUAUUAGGUCUAGGGUGAAAGCUCCCGGCUCAACUGGGAGAGGUCCUUGGAUACUGGUGGACUUGAGGGAUGCAGAGGAAAGUGGAAUUCCCGGUGUAGUGGUGAUAUGCGUAGAUAUCGGGAGGAACACCAGUGGCGAAGGCGGCUUUCUGGGCAUUUCCUGACGCUGAGACGCGAAAGCGUGGGGAGCGAACCGG
rnacentral:rRNA from 1 species